rnacentral:misc_RNA from 1 species
GAAAUGCGAUAAGUAAUGUGAAUUGCAGAAUUCAGUGAAUCAUCGAAUCUUUGAACGCACAUUGCGCCCCCUGGUAUUCCGGGGGGCAUGCCUGUUCGAGCGUCAUUUCACCACUCAAGCCUCGCUUGGUAUUGGGCGACGCGGUCCGCCGCGCGCCUCAAAUCGACCGGCUGGGUCUUUCGUCCCCUCAGCGUUGUGGAAACUAUUCGCUAAAGGGUGCCGCGGGAGGCCACGCCGUAAAACAACCCCAUUUUCUAAGGUUGACCUCGGAUCAGGUAGGGAUACCCGCUGAACUUAAGC